rfam:Gossypium raimondii chromosome 5, whole genome shotgun sequence.
GCGUCCAUUGUCUAAUGGAUAGAACAAAGGUCUUCUAAACCUUUGAUAUAGGUUCAAUUACUAUUGGACGCA